UACGUAGGGUGCAAGCGUUUGUCCGGAAUUAUUGGGCGUAAAGAGCUCGUAGGCGGUCUGUCGCGUCGGCUGUGAAAACUCGGGGCUCAACUCCGAGCUUGCAGUCGAUACGGGCAGGCUAGAGUUCGGCAGGGGAGACUGGAAUUCCUGGUGUAGCGGUGAAAUGCGCAGAUAUCAGGAGGAACACCGGUGGCGAAGGCGGGUCUCUGGGCCGAUACUGACACUGAGGAGCGAAAGCGUGGGGAGCGAACAGG
rnacentral:rRNA from 1 species